rnacentral:rRNA from 1 species
AUACGGAGGGGGCGAGCGUUAUUCGGAAUCAUUGGGCGUAAAGGGCGCGUAGGCGGCCUGACAAGUCAGGGGUGAAAUCCCUCGGCUCAACCGAGGAACUGCCUCUGAAACUGUCAGGCUUGAGGCCGGGAGAGGGUAGUGGAAUUCCCAGUGUAGCGGUGAAAUGCGUAGAUAUUGGGAGGAACACCAGUGGCGAAGGCGGCUACCUGGACCGGUUCUGACGCUGAGGCGCGAAAGUGUGGGGAGCAAACAGGAUUAGAAACCCUAGUAGUCC